rnacentral:misc_RNA from 1 species
AUGAAGAACGCAGCGAAACGCGAUAUGUAAUGUGAAUUGCAGAAUUCAGUGAAUCAUCGAAUCUUUGAACGCACAUGCCGCCUUCCAGUAUCCUGGGAGGCAUGCCUGUCCGAGCGUCGUUUCAACCCUCGAGCCCCCGUGGCCCGGCGUUGGGGAUCUGCCCAGGCAGUCCCCGAAAACCAGUGGCGGACCCGUUACAGGCCCUUCCCUUGCGUAGUAGCAUUCGCCUCGCAUCGGGAGCCGGCGGGCUUCCAGCCUCUAAACCCCCAUCAAGUCCGCCCCGGCGGCACCAAGGUUGACCUCGGAUCAGGUAGGAAUACCCGCUGAACUUAAGCAUAUCAAUAAGCGGAGGA